AGGUUACUGAAUGAAUGAUGAAUGUGUGACUUCAGUGGAGUCUACCCAAACCAACAGACACCAUGCAACAUUAUCCCGAAUAAGAAACUGAUGCAAAGAGAUGGAAAUCUUCUCAUCUGACAUAUUUCAACACCAUAGCAGCCACUGAGAUCUUGUCCCAGCUAGGCAAAGUGGUACAGGCCCCAAAUCCCAGAAUUCAGAAGGCAGAGGCAGAAAUAUCUACUUUGAAACUGGUCUUAAAAACAAAACUCCUUGUUGGGCUGAUUUAACUUGUUGUAAGUCAAAAAUGAUCCUAGGAAUUACAAUGUGUUAUUUCUUC